rnacentral:rRNA from 1 species
UACGUAGGGGGCAAGCGUUGUCCGGAUUUAUUGGGCGUAAAGAGCGUGUAGGCGGCCAGACAGGUCAGCUGUGAAAACUCGAGGCUCAACCUCGAGACGUCGGUUGAAACCGUCUGGCUAGAGUCCGGAAGAGGAGAGUGGAAUUCCCGGUGUAGCGGUGAAAUGCGCAGAUAUCGGGAAGAACACCCGUGGCGAAGGCGGCUCUCUGGGACGGUACUGACGCUGAGACGCGAAAGCUAGGGUAGCAAACGGG